GUGCUCGCUUCAGCAGCACAUAUACUAAAAAAUUGGAUUGAUACAGAGAUUAGCAUGGCCCCUGCGCAAGGAUGACAUGCAAAUUCGUGAACCGUUUAAAAAAAAA
rnacentral:snRNA from 1 species